rnacentral:lncRNA from 1 species
AUGAGAUACUCCAUGGACAGGAAAAAAAGCAAGAGUUUGUCUUUAAGAAGCCAGUGUUGCCAAACACUGGAGCAAUGUUUGGAGGAGGCUUCUCUGCUGACCCCAGGGCUGGAGCCAGGCUGGGAGAACUGGGGCUGCUCAGCCUCAGGAAGAGAGGGACAGGAGCAGCCCAGACGUGUGGCGUGGGCAGCUCCAGCAGUGGGCUGUGGCAGGAAUGAUUGAAGCUGGAUUCUGGGCUGCUCCAGGAUCCAGGACAAGCAUGAUGGAGGGGGUACAGAGAGGGGACGUGAGCUGGUCUGCAAAGCAAGUGGUGCAGGGCUGAUAGUUUGGUACUUGUUACAUUUGGAUGAGCAGUCUGCAAAGCAAGUGGUGCAGGGCUGAUAGUUCGGUACUUGUUACAUUUGGAUGAACAAGGUCUGUACCUGUGCUGUGUGGGAAAAAACAAUUGGGCAAAUCCCUUUGAAUAUGAAAGUUUGCCUGUGGCAGUGGGGAAAGGAGCAGUGAGGAAAGGAUCAGUGAGGAAAGCGCUCAUGAAGGGGGAGGGCUGAGUUCAGUGCCCUGAGUGAACGUUAAAGCCCCGUGGGUGCUGCAGAGCUGAUGCUCUCUGUCACAGACUGCACAGGACAGCUCUCAGAGGGCAUGGCUCAGUGUCGUGGUGGGGUGACAGGAGUCAGUGUGGAAGUGCUCCCCUGUGUCUAUAACCUUUGCAAAUGCCAUUUCUUUUUCUAAAAUUUUUUUUUUAAUGCUGCAUUUGAUCAGGUCUGUGAUACAGAUGAGAAAAUUCUUUGUAUUUCCUGGAGUAGAUCUCCCUUACCCCAACAAGCGCUGAAUCCAGUGGCAGUCCAUGAUAUGCACUGAAAACACUGCUUUAAAACAAAUAAAUAAGAUAUAGUUACUGAAUUUGUUAUUCAAAAGCAAUUUCCAGGUGCACCACAAUGUUUCCCAGUGUGCUUGUGGAUGUGGAUGUUUCUGUUCUGUGUUUGCAGCCAGGGUGGUUUACAGGAGGGACAAUGUACACUUUGAGGGUGGUGAGGCGCUGGAACAGGUUG